UUGGACAGUGAAAAUGGUGACAAACAAGGAAGAAAAGGAAGUGGUGGAGCUUGUUGGAUACAUACUUGAUCAUAUCCUUUACUCUCACCCUUCCUAAACUCUCCUUAAACCCUACAGGCAAUGACGGUUGCGCUGCGACAUACCAAGCAUGUGAGUUACUAGAUCCACUUCGAACCAUCUAAAAUUUAAUUUACUUUCACCUACAUAAAUGUGCGAAUUUAUUAUAUUGGUACUUUAACUCUGAAUAUUUUUGUCCUUACUGUACCACAUUAGGCUUUGUCUUCUCCAAAUAUCCUCAAAUAAUUUAGUUUCACUAUUAAACCGAAAAAUAUCACCAACAUAAAGACAAAUAACUAAUGCUGACAAAAGAAAAGACA